UACGUAGGGGGCAAGCGUUGUCCGGAAUCAUUGGGCGUAAAGAGCGCGUAGGCGGCCCUGUAAGUCCGCUGUGAAAGUCAAGGGCUCAACCCUUGAAUGCCGGUGGAUACUGCAGGGCUAGAGUCCGGAAGAGGCGAGUGGAAUUCCUGGUGUAGCGGUGAAAUGCGCAGAUAUCAGGAGGAACACCGAUGGCGAAGGCAGCUCGCUGGACCGUGACUGACGCUGAGGCACGAAAGCGUGGGUAGCAAACAGG
rnacentral:rRNA from 1 species